rfam:Pteropus alecto contig85336, whole genome shotgun sequence.
AUCUACGGCCAUACUACCUUGAACACUCCUGAUCCCAUCUGAUCUUGGAAGCUAAGCAGGGUCGGGCCUGGUUAGUACUCGAAUGGGGGACCACCUAGGAAGACCAGGUGCUGUAGGCG